CGCCACGGGAGAGAGCCGCCCCCGCCGUUCCUCCUCUCGCCGCGGGAUAGAGCCGCCGCCCCCUGCCGUUCCUCCCUUCGCCGCGGGAGUUGAGCUUCAGCUUGGCCUCCGCACCGAUGUUCCUCUUCUGCUUCCCGUCGGACACAACUAGGUGGUAACAAAGGGAUUGAUACAAAUGUAUUGUGAAUAGCUAGGUGGUAACAGAACAUCAAUUGAAGUGGAAAGAUGGGGCAGCGGCAGCGUGCCAGACUGUCUUGGGCUCCUGUCCCCUGUCGUAAUCAAAUCACAACCAUUGUUGGUGAGGCUUCAGUUAACAUUCCCAUCUUCCUAGCCACUACAACGAUAAUCUGGGAGAACAUACAUACGAUUGGGAAAAAAGCAUGAGGUGACGACAAAUGGGUGCCUCUCUCAGAAGGGAUCAGGUGGAGGCUCACUGGCUGCAGCGAUGGCCACUAGCGUGAGCUGUGAAGCGUGUGGAGGCGAGAGCCUCAUGGCCUGUUGAUACGGCGCAUAAUUGCAACCCUCCAAUUCAUCGCCUCACCCGCUCCACUCCAUGCCAGCCCCAUAAUCAUGUUAUUGAACAUUGGAGAGAAACCGAGCACCACAUUUCACUUGAAUUAGAAACACCAAAGGUUUGGGAUUAUGCUCAUGACGACUAUGUCCAUCAUGUAUUGUGUCCAAAGCAGAUGGUAUGUGUUCAUAUGUAAUGGUGGUGCAGUAAUGGAUGAAGCUCUAUUGAACAGGAAAGUUAAGCUUUAAUCUAUGGUAUGUUUCUGUGUAUUUUCUUUUACAAAUGUGCUACUUCUCUUCUUUUAGAUUGUUGGAUAGUACAAUGAUGUGGUCGACGUUUAUUACCAGCUUAUAAGUUCAUUGUGACUCUGGUUUUGUGCUAAUGUAGUACCGAUAUAAGUCACUUCUGCUAGAAAUCAAAGAGAAUUAAAUAUAAGUUUCUGCUACUGCAUGAUACCUCCAAACGUUACACACAAAGCUUGAUAAGUGCACUGAAGAGAAACAUUUUCUUGAUGAAGUUGUUCCUGGUUGUAACUUUUGUAGGCAUAAACAAAAUCUGGACACUUUGGUUUAGCGGUGGAGUUGUUUCAUACCAUUGUAAUUUAUAGUGGUUUUGAAAAAACAAAGUUGCAUGUGCUGGCUAAUUUUGCAUGUGUGUAUUUUCUUGUAAAUUCUAUGCCUUUCUUUUUUGCUCUUUUAGGAAAACCAUACGAUGAUUUUGAUGAUGCUUUUAUAAGUAAAAAAUAGAUUAUAUCCUUCAAAUCCAUUCAUUUUAUGUGGUGUCUUUGUGUGGGUUUCGAAGGCAAAGAGUUGUGUGGUACACAUGAUGAGACUGAAUGCUGCCAUAUGUUUUUAAUUGAAGUCCCUAAAGCUUCUUAGGGUCUCUUUGAUUCACAUGAUUACCUGAUUAUCAAAAUACGGGAUUAAGAAAAACCUAGGUACCAUAUAAUUGCGUUUUACCUAUCCUUGUUAAGCCUAAAAACUUGGAUAGUCUAUCUUCAGUUUUCUCUCCCCCUCAUUUUAGGCAUAUGUAACAAUUUUAACAGAUGAAAUCAUAACUAGAGGUCUGAGAGGAUGGAUUUUUUUCUCCAAUAGAGUACAAAGAAUACUUCAGGAAAAGGUCCUUGGGCUUCAUAUCCAUAGAAAAUCCUAUGGAACUCUUGAGAACCGAAGGAUCCCUGUAUAUAUCUAACUAUGUAGUAAUUGAUAUAUUGUUCUUUUGAGAGACAUUCCAAAAUGGAGUACAAAGAAUCCUUCGGGAAAAUAUCAAACCAUCUCCAUAGGAAAAGAUCCUUAAGAUUCGUAUCCUUGAAAAAUCGAAUGAAUCGAAGGAACCCUACCUAACUUUGUUUAUCAGUUGUUCUUAUAAGAGACAUCAUACAUAUGUAGGUCAUUAGAUUGUUUAUUAGCACAUUGCUAGAGAAUCUUAAAAUGGUGUCCUCAUAUUGUUAGAUAUGCUAAAGAAGUGAAUAAUUGCGUAUCAGCACAUUCCAAAAUCUUGAUUCUUUUGCUUUUAGUUUUAUGCACUCAUGGUACGGGGAAGAACUAAAUCAACCAAUUUGCAGGGUCAAUAUUCAUUGUUUCAUGAUUUUACAUUCUACUAAGCGAAAAUUCCCAAGAUAAUGACUUUUAUUCUCAUUCAUGAUGUUUGCCAGCUAAGGAAGCAAUUUGCGGUGCACCAUACUUAGCUUCAUCGACAAUGAAGUUGCACACAAAAUUUAUGUUGUUGUACGAGAAUUAAUUACAUGUAUUAAGAAAUAAUGAGAUAUUUAUGUUUUUUGGCUUUGUGCAUAGCUUGCCAUGUUAAAGUGUUUUCUUGAUUUUUAGUACUUUUUAAUGCGAUCAAAAUACCUUUGUAUGCAUGUUAAUUCUGACAUAUCUUUGUAAUAUUAGUCGAGACGUGCAUUUGCACGUACAAGCUUACUAGUAAAUAUAAGUCUUUUUAGACA